rnacentral:rRNA from 1 species
UACGGAGGAUGCAAGCGUUAUCCGGAAUGAUUGGGCGUAAAGCGUCCGCAGGUGGCAAUGUAAGUCUGCUGUCAAAGCGUCUGGCUCAACCAGAUAAAGGCAGUGGAAACUACAUAGCUAGAGUAAGGUAGGGGUAGAGGGAAUUCCUGGUGUAGCGGUGAAAUGCGUAGAGAUCAGGAAGAACACCGGUGGCGAAAGCGCUCUGCAGGACCUUAACUGACACUGAGGGACGAAAGCUAGGGGAGCGAAUGGG